AAAAACGCUGUACAAAAUAUCGCUGUAUAAGAGGUGCUGUAUAAUUUUUUGAACAGCACAUGUUUAAGCUUUGAUAAAUAUCGGUAUAAAACACGGCGAAUUGACCUGUUUAAGGUCCGUAGACAGAAGGCUUGAACAGGGGGUUGUACAAGAUACCGGCACAUGUAAAGCGCAUGCGUACGCGUGCGCAGUGCUAUGCUAGUGGUCGGAAGAUGGCGUUGAGUAUGUUCGACUCGGAGACUGCUGCAGUGCACUGGAAAAAUCGUGUUUAAUCUCCGUUUUAGAAAAAGAAAGAUUUGGGGGUGACAAACCUGCUUCAGGAGUGGGACUUCCCACAUUUAGUUCCAAUCUUUAGAGUUAAAUGUUGCAGAAGAUGAGCACCAAGAAGACACCUACUGGAUGCAAUAUUACUCAUCACCUGACAACAUUGUUGUUAAUGUGACGAACCUCGGUACCGAGAUAUGAGUUGACUAGAGGAAACCCGCGACCAAGCACAGCAGAAAUUCUUGACAAAUAUCUACAGCUUUUGGGAAUGAUUGAUCAAGACUUUGAUUUAACAAUUGAUGCAGCUCCUGGUGCCCUUUUCACAAUGUGGCCAAAGUUGUCCAGGCAGACUUUGGAAUUUGCGGAGAAGAUUAAUCCAGGGUAUAGAAAGAUCCUAGGGGCUGGAGUGGACCAGAAAAUGACGCAGAGUCAACAAUGAAGAAAAUUUGGCUUUCAGUACUUCCUGGGAUUUUGAUCGGCAGAACGAAAGGGGAACGAGGCAAAUUAAAUGUGCCGUACUUCAAAGUCUUGAAUCUUUCAUCAAUCUCCAAUUAGAAGGAGCAUGAAGAAAAAGAAGAUGAACAGGAAUUGACAAUGGCGCGUUCCAUACCUGGGAGUGAUUGCACAGUGGCACCCUUGGACCUAAUUUCACCCUGACAUCAAGUUGGUUUUAAGGAGAACCAUGAGAGAAAUUAAUAAAUUAAAGUUUGCCGAAUAUCAAAGAAUAACAGAGUUAUGAGGCUUCAAAGUUUUAAAUUUGUGACAUGACAUGCGAGCAGAUCCCAAUAUGUCAAUCAUGUAAUAUAAAUUCCAUAAAUUGCCAUUUUUUAAUGGUUUUCAUGAUAAUUAAAUGGGUUUUUAUCAGAAGCUUGUAUGAAAUAAUGUUUCUGAUAACAUUGAAUCCACAGGUAAAAUCAUUUUCCAAUUUCCCUAGAAAAGGCACUUGUAUAGAAUUGAUAUCACAUAAAAUAUGGGGAGCUGCUCGCAUGUGAAGUCACAAAUUUAAAACUUCAUAACUGUUGGUGGAUUUUCACCAACUAACAUGCAAUGUCAGGAUGAACCUUGCCUUUAAACCUUAUAUUGGCAGCCUUUCAUUGACAUUUACAUACAGUAUUUUAGGUUUUGUGAGCAAGUAUAUGAAAAAGGUGCUAAUUAACACCUACUUCCCCUUCUUAACCCUAAACAGGCCGGGGGGGGGUUAAAACAACCUUCCCCCAACAUUUUCUGCGAUCAUUCCUCCGCGGGAGAUUAGUUGACCCUGCCACUCUCAGAGUUUAUACUAAGUCUCGCGCAUCUUUUGAGACCAAAUUUACGAUGCCCAGGUACGUUGUCCCGAAAUUAUGCAACAUUUCGUAAGU
rnacentral:lncRNA from 1 species